rnacentral:lncRNA from 1 species
UGAACUUCUGGAAUUACAAUAACUUCUGUUAAUAUGUGUGAUACAGAUUCCUGGAAACUUGAGGAGCAGUCUUCCAGCGGCUGAGGAAUGCAGUUCUCCCCGGAUGUGUGGGUAUCUUGCAUAAAUCGAACUGAAGUGGGAUGGACUGGUAGUAAGAACAACUGUUGUUUAAUACAGAUGAGCAAUUCGAUCUUCUUGAGUUGCUCACCUACCACAGUGAUGAGCCUCAGAGAAAUGCCAACAAAGAAGUUUUAAGUUCACUGCCUACUUAGGAGAAUACAAAGUAUGUUCAGGCAUGACUUCAUCAAGAGAUUCAGGAAUACUUUGGAGUGAAUUGGCAGGAAGCCUUGCAAUACAACUUUGACAAUAAUAGUCGCUGUCCUCUGGAGAUGUUGAAGCUAAGCUUUCUUGUGAACUUCCUUCUUGCACCUCUCCACAUGUGCACAAAGGACUUAACACUGUUUAGAAUUCGUAUGGUAUAAAAUAAUCAUGGAUAUGCUUUUUUCUUCCUUGACUUGAUGUCUG